rnacentral:rRNA from 1 species
UAGGGAAUAUUGGUCAAUGGAGGCAACUCUGAACCAGCCAUGCCGCGUGAAGGAUGACGGCGCUUUGCGUUGUAAACUUCUUUUAUAUGGGACGAAAAAGGUGGAUUUAUCCACAACUGACGGUACCAUAGGAAUAAGCACCGGCUAACUCCGUGCCAGCAGCCGCGGUAAUACGGAGGGUGCAAGCGUUAUCCGGAUUUACUGGGUUUAAAGGGUGCGUAGGCGGGGCGUUAAGUCAGUGGUGAAAGCUCGUUGCUUAACAACGGAAUUGCCAUUGAAACUGAUGUUCUUGAGAUAAGUUGAGGUUGGCGGAAUGAGACAUGUAGCGGUGAAAUGCAUAGAUAUGUCUUAGAACACCGAUUGCGAAGGCAGCUGACUGGACUUUAUCUGACGCUGAGGC